rnacentral:misc_RNA from 1 species
UCACGGUUUGCACCGGCAGUCUUGUUAGAGUUCCCGGCUUGACCCGCUGGCAACUAACAAUAAGGGUUGCGCUCGGUAUAGGACUUAACCUGACACCUCACGGCACGAGCUGACGACAACCAUGCAGCACCUUGUAAAUUGCUCGAAGGAAAGUCUAUCUCUAAACCUGUCAAUCUACAUUUAAGCCUUGGUAAGGUUCCUCGCGUAUCAUCGAAUUAAACCACAUGCUCCACCGCUUGUGCGGGCCCCCGUCAAUUCCUUUGAGUUUCAUUCUUGCGAACGUACUCCCCAGGUGGGAUACUUAUCACUUUCGCUUAGCCACUCAAUCCGAAGACCGAACAGCUAGUAUCCAUCGUUUACGGCGUGGACUAC